GAGGGUACAGCUCAGUGGCAGAGCCGGUGCUUAGCAUGCACCAGGUCCUGGGUUCAAUCCCCACUACCUCCU
rnacentral:tRNA from 1 species